rnacentral:rRNA from 1 species
GAUGAACGCUGGCGGCGUGCCUAAUACAUGCGAGUCGAGCGAACAGAUGAGGAGCUUGCUCCUCUGACGUUAGCGGCGGACGGGUGAGUAACACGUGGAUAACCUACCUAUAAGACUGGGAUAACUUCGGGAAACCGGAGCUGAUACCGGAUAAUAUAUUGAACCGCAUGGUUCAAUAGUGAAAGACGGUUUUGCUGUCACUUAUAGAUGGAUCCGCGCCGCAUUAGCUAGUUGGUAAGGUAACGGCUUACCAAGGCAACGAUGCGUAGCCGACCUGAGAGGGUGAUCGGCCACACUGGAACUGAGACACGGUCCAGACUCCUACGGGAGGCAGCAGUAGGGAAUCUUCCGCAAUGGGCGAAAGCCUGACGGAGCAACGCCGCGUGAGUGAUGAAGGUCUUCGGAUCGUAAAACUCUGUUAUUAGGGAAGAACAAAUGUGUAAGUAACUAUGCACGUCUUGACGGUACCUAAUCAGAAAGCCACGGCUAACUACGUG